rnacentral:lncRNA from 1 species
AAGUUACUCAACUAGAGAAUAAUCUAUCUCGUAUUGUAGAUGUCUAAAACACCAGUCAAACACGAAGACACCUGUUUCAUCGGGAGUUGGAAGCGUAAUGCAUUUUUGCAAUUUUUUAUCAUCCCAUGAAUACACUCUACAUAUUGUAGAUGAAACGAGGGUGACAUACACAAAGUUUUUCUCAUAUCCCCACUUGUUCGGGUUGCUCAAUGCAUAACAAUCUUGGCUUUAAUGCACUUUUAAUC